rnacentral:lncRNA from 1 species
AGCGGCUGGCUGAGGUGACAGAUUCAAAGUAGUGGAGACUUGCCAACACACCGGAAACUGCCUUAGAGGCUGCAGGAUGAAGCAUGACAUCUGCUCGAACCUCAGAAUGUGACUCGCUGUUUUCCCUCAAACUAUAAUUUUCGUGUUGAUUAAAUAAGAUAAUAUUCACAGAACCACAGUGAAUAGGAGGCUAGCAGUAAGCUCCAAGGCCCUUCCCAGCUGUCUGUCUGUCCGUCUCCCCUGCCUGUUUCCUUCUUGUUCUGCAGACAGCAUCCUGCAGCUCCCUCUUUGGUUGACCCGUGCAUCCUUUCAGACCCCUGAGUUUCUGGGCCUCUAAAACAACAGGGAAAAUGUCAUGGAAUGGAUCUUCCUGUGAACUCCUUCCUCUGGUUCCUCACAGAGCCCCCAAAUGGCCUUAGGGACUAGAAAAAAGUUCACAAGGUCAGGUGCUGGGGCACAGGAUACAGAGAUGUUUCCAGUUUAUGUGGAAGACGCAGGAAGGGAGGGAGCUUGAGUGACCUACAGGAAACAUGGG